rnacentral:tRNA from 1 species
GCGGACGUGGUGGAAUUGGUAGACACGCUAUCUGACACGCUAUCUUGAGGGGGUAGUGGCGAAAGCUGUGUGGGUUCGAGUCCCACCGUCCGCACCA